UCACAACAGAACGCAUACGCUGAACCUGACGAAGAAACUCUCUUUCUCGGGGAUUCUUGAGGCUUCUUGAUCGGCUUUCCUUCUCCGUCGUCCUUCAGACACCAUUAGCCACCCUUGUAGCCGCUCCGCCAUUGCUGGUUUUGUUGUAGCAAGGCCAACUCUCGUUCUGCUCUGUUCUAUGGUCAGGACGCUCGCAAGUUCACGAACCUUGGUCGCUCCGCUUUCGCCGGCCCCAAUCAUCGGCAUUGACACCAGCAGGAGCUUUGUCAAUGAUUUGAUCACCGUCCGAGGUAAAAAACUUAAAUGUCAUCAAGUUUCCUUCUCUCUCUCCUCCAAUAGCAUCAGACUCGCGCUCAACCCUCUCUCCGGGAUUAAAUUCCUUUCCUGCGAAACCUGCAACAGUGCAACCACGUUCGCCACCUCCCCCAGAUCGCCUUCCGGAAUCUGAAUCCCAUGCCGUAGGGCCUGAAUCCGAAGCUUCAGCCUGGCGAUCUCGACAAGGAGGGACUUCCUCUCGCAAGCCUGCUGCUGCUCCUCGCGUGACCACCUUUGCUCCUCUCGGAGGUGGCGAUGGGACUUAGGGAAGAGGCAGAGAGAAGAAGGUUUGGAGACUCUGAAUGGGAGGGAGGAUGGGCGUUGGUGGUGGACUCGGUGGAGGGGAGGAUAGGUGCAGGGUGGGACUUGGUGGAGUGGUAGGUGGGUUAUGGAGUGGGGAGAGAGACAAGGGUUCGGAGAGCAAGAUGGAGAAGAAGACGAGGGAGAGAUAUUUUUGCGGAGCCACCUCGAUUGUACCAACUUCGCUCCCUCCCUCUCGUCUCGUCUCCAUCCCAUAUGCAUACGCAACCCUCCACCCUCCUCCUCCUCCUCCUCCGUCGUCGAACGCUCCAGUUUCCCCCAUUCUCAUUUGUGCAAAUUCCUGUUCUCGUCGAUCCUUCGCUCUCCCUCUCGCCAAGCGGUUGUGGUGCCCCUCUUCAGUUCGAUUGGGGAUCGGUUUCGGGUGGAGACGAUUCCCAUCAAUUCGUGAUUAGCGAUGGGGGAACUUAUGCUCACGAACCUGUUGAAGAAGGCGGCGUUGGAUUUCUCCGACGGGAGAGCCGUGUCCGCCUAUGGGGAGUUCAACCUGACGCACGUGCGGCUGCACGACGUCAUUGCACUCGCUUUCCCCAACACAGUUUGUGAUCCUGUUUCUGGCGGUAAUCCGUUGCGCAGCCAUCGCAGCUCCACCCAACGCCAUCUACACAGCUAAGGAGUUUUGAGUUCUACCUUUUCGACUCGGAACCGAAGCUUUUAUUGACACCACAAGAAGGAAACCGAUGGGCUCAAUCUGCUGCUUCCAAGCUUAACAUUCACCACCUAACUGCCAAGCUUUCACUCCACCGAUUCGAAAAUCUCUCUCUUUGUCCGACGUAGAGCCGAGCCUCGGCUCAACGUCAAAAGUUGUCAAUGAUCCCUCGGAUGUAGCUCUGUUCAUGCACACCUCUGACGCUACGGGUCGCCCCAAUUGCAUGCUGCUAACUCAAUGCAAUUUGGCAUCAUCGGUUCAGAACAUCAAGUGGGUGUACAAACUAACAAAGUUAGAC